rnacentral:rRNA from 1 species
GUCGAACGAAGUAGCAAUACUUAGUGGCAGACGGGUGAGUAACAUGUAGGUAUCUGCCCUUUGGCCUGGAAUAACACGAGGAAACUUGUGCUAAUACCGGAUAAGUCUUUACGGAGAAAGCUUUAUGCACCAUUGGAUGAGCCUGCACUUGAUUAGUUUGUUGGUGGGGUAAUGGCCUACCAAGACUGUGAUCAAUAGCUGAUUUGAGAGGAUGAUCAGCCACAUUAGGACUGAGACACGGCCCAAACUCCUACGGGAGGCAGCAGUGGGGAAUCUUGCACAAUGGAGGAAACUCUGAUGCAGCGAUGCCGCGUGAGUGAAGAAGGCCCUUGGGUUGUAAAGCUCUUUCGUCGGGGAAGAAAAUGACUGUACCCGAAUAAGAAGGUCCGGCUAACUUCGUGCCAGCAGCCGCGGUAAUACGAAGGGACCUAGCGUAGUUCGGAAUUACUGGGCUUAAAGAGUUCGUAGGUGGUUGAAAAAGUUAGUGGUGAAAUCCCAGAGCUUAACUCUGGAACUGCCAUUAAAACUUUUCAGCUAGAGUAUGAUAGAGGAAAGCAGAAUUUCUAGUGUAGAGGUGAAAUUCGUAGAUAUUAGAAAGAAUACCAAUUGCGAAGGCAGCUUUCUGGAUCAUUACUGACACUGAGGAACGAAAGCAUGGGUAGCGAAGAGGAUUAGAUACCCUCGUAGUCCAUGCCGUAAACGAUGUGUGUUAGACGUUGGAAAUUUAUUUUCAGUGUCGCAGGGAAACCGAUAAACACACCGCCUGGGGAGUACGACCGCAAGGUUAAAACUCAAAUGAAUUGACGGGGACCCGCACAAGUAGUGGAGCAUGUGGUUUAAUUCGAAGAUACGCGCAGAACCUUACCAACACUUGACAUGUUCGUCGCGACUCUAAGAGAUUAGAGUUUUUGGUUCGGCCGGACGAAACACAGGUGCUGCAUGGCUGUCGUCAGCUCGUGUCGUGAGAUGUUGGGGUUAAGUCCCGCAACGAGCGCAACCCUCACUUUUAGUUGCCAUCAUUAAGUUAGGCACUCU